CAGGACCACUGCCCAACGCCGCCUGCUCACCUUGAUCACGCUGAGGUCCUCCGGGCCCAAGCUACUGGGCUGGACCAAGAUCCUUAGAGCAACUGUGGUUGACAGCAGUUCAUCGAAUAUUUCAAAACAGCUGGCAGAGAGAAUCUCAAAUGUUUCCAACACAAAGAAAUGAUAAAUGUCCAAGGGGAGAGAUAUGCCGAUUACCCCAAUCAAAUCAUCAUAUGCUGCAGCUCCUGAGCAUCUCUGGGACACCGACACCAGGUGGGGCAAGGCAACAGGGCACAGGACUGAGGGAGCCUGUCUGUCCCCAGAAGAACUGGGCCACCCAGCUGUUUCACCUCCUUCACCACAAAGCCACAAUUGCAGCUACGGCUGCAGGUAUUAAUAAACCUUGCUGGUAAGUUUUGGUCCGGCAGACGGCAACCCUGUGACCUUUGAGUUGACUUUGUCUCCCUUUCUCUCCCCACCCACACUUCUCAGCCCGAGGACCGAAAGUCUGGCUUUCUCGUAAUCUGCUUCGACACUCAGGGAAUAACACUGCUAGUAAAAGGUAAACACCAAGGAGGGCAGCAGCUGGGCAGGCAAGCAUCCCCCAGAG